rfam:Ipomoea nil DNA, scaffold: scaffold2480, cultivar: Tokyo-kokei standard.
GUCCCGUGUGAUGAAUUUGGAUUCAAUUACUCACGACGGUCGUCCGAUUCACCUCCGGGUGCUGUGAUGCAAUGAUCCAAAAUACCUGACGGUU